rnacentral:lncRNA from 1 species
UGAAACACAGUUGGAGUCACGAAUUCCAUCUUCUGGAAUUUCUUUCUAUACACAGGAUCCCACGCUUUCGGCAAUAUAUUCUUCUUCUGGACUUGUUCGAUCUGUUGUUCCUAUUGUCACACAGGUAUGUUUCUGUAUGCAUAAUUCCUGUUUGCAAAGGGUCAAAGGUGAAAUUAGAGAUUUUGAGGUCAAACAAGGGAGCGAAAGAGAGUAAGUGGAGAUCAGAUGGAAAAUUAGAGGCCAGAUGAAAUUGGACAGAACAGGAAUAGGGUAAUUAAGAGAUAGAGAAACGGAGAGAACAAGGAGAGAGAACCAAGUUUAAUACUCCAAACUCUCGGUAAUUCUUAGCCUAAACCUGGUUGAAAGAUAAUCCAUUGAAGUAUCUAUAGGCACAAGCCAGAAAAUCUGAAUAACAUAAACUUAAAUGUCAAAUAAAUCUAUAAGCAGUAAUAAAUAACCCCAAGGUGAUUCUCCAUUAUGUUAGAUGUUAUGUUAAUAGAAAAAGAUGAGAGCAAUAUUACUUUGAGCUUCUUUUUGGUUUCAUUCAUACCCUACUUGGUCUGAAGGCAAUGCGAUUUGAGUUGCAGGCUUGAAUGUAGAAAAUUUUCUCUGUUAUGCAUGUUCAUCAUUAUGUACUUUCAGGGUUAUCUACACCUAGAGUUUAGUGUCUUCAUUCGAUCUAUAUGUACACAUAUUGCCUUAUGUGUUAUCAGUUCGCUUGAUGCAUACUUGGUAUCAGAUUGCUCAAACAAUGCAAAUACCAUUUUCUUAUGCCGAGGACAUCAUUGGGAUAGGAGGAGCUAAUAUUGCACAUAUUCGCUGCACUAGUGGAGCUGUCAUAACUGUGCAAGAGAGUAGGGGCAUGUCUGAUGAAAUAACUGUGGAAAUUAAAGGUACCUCAACACAGGUUCAGUUGGCUCAACAACUGAUUCAGGUACGAGGCUUUUGAGAUUGACUUAUUUGUUAGUUUAGACCCAACAAAAUUGAAUUCUUUGGCCCGCUAUGAGGGCUCUUUUCUUUUGGUAGUUCUCUUUAACGGGUGUAUGCAUUAGUGAGGUACAUAUGAGGGGUGAUUAAAGUUUUUGGUUCAUGCAGGAUUUUAUGAGCAAUCACAAAGAUCCGGUAACUAGCGGCGACUAUGGAGACUCAAGUUAUAGGUCCUCGUACUCUCAGAUGGGGAGCACAUCUUCACUAUCAAUGCAACCCUAUGGCGGACAUGGGGGAUCUUCUUCAAAUGUAGGUGGCUACCCUACUUUUAGGCUUUAAGGUCUUAUUCUAUCUGAGUGAUUUCGGGAUUGAGCUUGAGAUAGAGAAUGGUAGGCAUAGGAGUGCAGGAUUAGUCAGUUUGUGAGUGUUAGAAUAGAAUUUUUGUUGGGGGAGUAUUAUAAGUAAAAUUACUAGAGUUAUCACAUAUUCGUGCUUUCUUCUUCAUUCGAAGUAACGUUGAUACCAUAUGGGAGAAAGAUUGAAGAAAUAGAGUUUCAAUUCAAGCAGUUUGAGGCUGCGUAGAAGAUGAUUGGUAUAAACCAGUGGACACAUGUUUCUUAGUAUUAAGAUUUUUAGCUGAAAUAAUUAUAUACCACUCACUCAGUUAAUCAUUAAUUAGUUUUUUCUUAACAUAUUUGACGAGUUACCAUAAGCAACGCAUGGAUGAAAUUUAAUAUAAAUAUUAUUUUUAGGGGAGAAAUUUUAUCCAUUUUUGAAACCAACUAAAUACAUUUAUCCAAAAUUAUUUUUGCAUGGACCAGAUUUCCUAGACAACUAUCAUGAUAUUUCCAGAUGCAGUUCCUUGGUAUCUCAACAAGUUCAAAUACCACCGCCUACAAAAUCUAUCAUCAAACUUGUCUUCUUUACAUAAAUAUAAUAUUUCAGAAUUUUAACAUGUCGUUUUAAAACCUAAUUUUGAUUAAAAAUAAAUAGAACCGACUUGAUUUAAGAAUUAAGGUACUAUAAAGAAAUGUUUUUUUUUCUAAAAAAAUUAUAAGGGAAUUGCUAGAGUGCUAUAAAAUGAAAAUUUUAAUUUUUUUAACAUGGAAAAGUAGAAAAUUAAAAAAAAAAACUUAAAACCGGACAGUGAUUAUCCAAAACUAAAGGCUAUUCUUUGUCCAGGAUGACUAUAAUUCACCAUGCCCUGCUUUCUACUUUGCCCAUCCAAUAAGACAAAACUUUCAAAAAAUAAGAUGUGAAUCUAUCUUUUUAUGCAAUAUAAAAUUAAUAAUUAAUUUAUUAUACAAAUAAUGAGGUUCAAAAGCAAGCUCGUUUUUUUGGAAUUUAAAUGGAUAACACGAAGACACUUGUUGUUGAAGCAAUAAAUAAAGAAGUAAAAAUGAUGUAUGUAAAAUAUCUUGGAAUGAAGGAAACACCUCUGACCCUCAUCAACUCAAAAUAUCCUAUACCCAUUUCUUUUAGGAAAAAAAGGAUGACACUUUCUAGAGUCCCACCCAUUCUAUUACUUUGGUAGGAUAAUAAAAAAAAUUACUUUUCAUCCUUCAUAUCUUUCAUUUUUAUGUUUUACUCUUCUACCCUACCUUUCUAUUAAAUUUUGUUAUUUAUAUAUAAUGUUUUCUAAAGAAGUGUACUUAUCACCUCUUUCUAUUAGGAUCCAAUACCACAUACACUUGGAGAUUUGAAAUAGAGGAGUGGGUGGCAGAUUAGGAAAUUUGAAAAAGGGAAUAUCAUAGAAAGAAAGAAAGAAAGGGGCAGAAUUGCAAAGGUGUCAAAUUUACAUAAUAGUUUGGUUGAUAUAAAUAAUCACAACGUUUGCUUAGCAUCUGCCACACAAAAGACGGCAAAAGGCACCAAAAAGCCUCUAUCAAUGAUUGAUUACUUCUUACAUAUACCAUAUCUGUAUAUGAAAGAUGUCCAAAAUCCUACCUCCUUACCUCGAGACACGUGAAAACGAUUAAAGGGCAUGCCACCUCAGCCCUAGAAAAUCUAGAGUACCCAAUCAGAGGAUGCCAGUGCCAUCUCAGCAGAUAAGACCCUUUUCAAAGAAUUUUGGACAACUUAUGGGGUAGCAUGCCACUUCCACCUUACCCUGCCCAUCUUUACCAUUACAUUAGUCAAUUGCCCUUUUCAAUUUCAUUCUUCUUUAAAUCUAUGCAACGCAUCAACAAAUCCAACCCAACCCUCAUGUUUUUAAAUUGAUUAGUUUUUCAAUAAAUUUUUGUAUUAAGAGUUAAGUUAUAUUUUAUAUUAUCUAUUCAAAAAAUAAAUAUAUUAAUCCUUUUAUAUUCAAUUAUCGAAUAUUUCUAUUUAUUUAUAUCGUUAAAAGUUAAUUCUUAGUAAAUAAAAUAUUUUCUUUUUAAUUUAACUUACAUAAAUUAAUUUACUCGGAAAACGAGGGUAAUUUUCUGGUGGAAUAGAUUUAAGAAAGUAGUAAAAGUAGUGUUUUGGGGUGAAGAGGUCAGAAUGGUAAAAGAGCAAUAUGAAAUAAUUGAACAGUGAAAGUAAAAGGAGAGAGAGAGACAGAGAGAAGGGGGGAGUGGUCCAGCAAGUGGGGGUGUGUGUCUUUUCCGUUGUUCCGAUGUGAUGUCAUGUGAGAAAGGAUGAUUCUCAUAUCUCAUAAUCAUCUAAUCAAUUUGAUUAAUUUGUGAAUUUUGAAGGGGUAAACAUAGAAGAGAAGAGUGGCCUGCCUGCCGCUGCCAGCCUGCGUAUAUCACUGACACCAUUCAAUUCAACUCCCCCCAAACGGAUCUUUCUCUCUCUUUUAUCUCUUCCGUUUUUCCACCUCGUGACCUACUUACUCUACUCUGCACUCCCUUCUUGUGCUACCCAAAAUCCCUUCUUCUUUUUAUAUAUAUUUAAAUAUCUUUUCUGUUCAGCUCAAAUUUUAGUAUUUUCACAGACAUACCUUCCCUUUGUCUAUUGACACUUUUCAUUCCUUUUUUCUCCAUAAAGCUAGGGUGCCUCUGCAAAUCUGGGUUUUUGUGCAUUUUUUUUGGUUGGUCAAAACCAAUAGUAUAUAUUUUUAAACUAGGUAAGCUACUAUAUAGGCUUGUUGCUAAAAGAAUUCUUUUGUUUAGUUUUAGGGUUGCCGUACCUGUUGGGUUCUUUUAUAUAUAUAUAUAUGGGUUUCUUCUUUGUAAUUGCAGUCUUUGUUAUCAAAUUUACAACACAAAAGCCAAAGAAUUGUUUUAAUUAAUUAUGUAUAUAUAUAUUGUUAGUAGGAGAGACUCUACCAUUUUAUUUCUUAAAAUUGGUUUUGGCAUUUUCCUGGGCUUCUAUAAUAAUACUCCAACCAACCAGCAGGGUUUAGGGUUUUAAUUUGAACUUGUUUUCCAAAUGAGGAAACAGUUUGGGGGUCUGAAAGAAAGGUUAUAGUUUGGGCUACUUUUUCUUUUCUUUAUCUGAUUUGCUAAUACUAGAAUUAUGUUGCAGGUAUGAAAGUAGAGUGAAAGUUGAGAAAUCUCACUGGCGAGAGAUGAGUUCGUCGUGUUUAGGCAGGACGUAUGCUUUAGACCUUGAAAUAAUAAAAUCACCACCCACAUCAACCUCCUCCUCUUCUUCAACUCUCUCCGAUGCCAUCAAUUCCCCACUCGCCAUCUCCACCCGCAAACCCCGUUCCCCUCGUAAACGCCCCAACCAAACCUACUCUGAAGCUGCCGCCCUCCUUUCCACUGCCUACCCUUAUAUCUUCCCCGCCAAAACCUUCGCUAAACCCCCAAAAUUCACCCUCCCUCCUCCUUCCUCUUUCUUCCCUGAUUCUUCUUCUCAAUUAUUAUUGUUCCCUUUCCGCCAUCUCCACCACUCUGGUUUCUUGCUCCACCAUCAAUCACCCAUUCGGGAAAAGCCCAG